rnacentral:rRNA from 1 species
GACGAACGCUGGCGGCGUGCCUAAUACAUGCCAGUCGAACGAACGGAUAAAGAGCUUUCUCUUUUGCAGUUAGUGGCGGACGGGUGAGUAACACGUGGGUAACCUGCCUCACAGCUGUGGAUAACAUCGUAAAAUCGAUGCUAAUACCGACUGUGCUGAACUUCAUAAGAUGUUCAAGUAAAAUCCGGUUUCGGCUGUCACUGUGAGAUGGACCCGCGCUGGAUUAGCUAGUUGGUAAGGUAAUGGCUUACCAAGGCGACGAUCCAUAGCCGACCUGAGAGGGUGAUCGGCCACAUUGGGACUGAGACACGGCCCAAACUCCUACGGGAGGCAGCAGUAGGGAAUCUUCGGCAAUGGGCGAAAGUCUGACCGAGCAACGCCGCGUGAGCGAAGAAGGCCUUCGGGUCGUAAAGCUCUGUUGUUAGAGAAGAACAUGGGUGAGAGUAACUGUUCACCUCUUGACGGUACCUAAACAGAAAGCAACGGCUAACUACGUG